rnacentral:pre_miRNA from 17 species
GGCCGCACAGGAUAAUCGAUUAUCCCGUGCGGUCCACUUAAGACAACCGCACGGGAUAAUCCUUUUAUCCUGUGUGGUC